GUGAGGAAUAUUGGUCAAUAGCCUAACGGCUGAACCAGCAACUUGGGGGAAUGUAUAGUGGUUUAUCCGCAUAAAGUUCUAGAUAGAAUACUGAUAAUGACAAUUUUCUAUCUAAAUGUCUUGACAAAAUCACAGAGCCAGCAGUCGCGGUAAUACGGGAGAGACUAGUGUUAUUCAUCUUUAAUAGGUUUAAAGGUACCUAGACGGUAUAUCUAGCCGAUAUAAGGUACGGAUUUUACUAGAGUUUUAUUUGAGAGGCAUAUAGUACUAGCAGAGGAGAGAUAAAAUUCGUUGAUACUGCUAGGAACUGGUAACGGCGAAGGCAAUCCUCUAUCUAAUAACUGACGUUGAGGGACGAAGGCUUGGGUAGCAAACAGGAUUAGAUACCCUAAUAGUCCAGGCAGAAAAUUAUGAGUGCCAUAGAUUAGUUUAGAUCAGACCUCACCGCAACCGUAGUCUCGGCUAAUAUGUUGAUCUAUAAAUGAAAGUGUAAGCAUUCCACCUCAAGAGUAGUGCGGCAACGCUGGAACUGAAAUCAUUAGACCGUUUCUGAAACCAGUAGUGAAGUAUGUUGUUUAAUUCGGUACCCCACGAAAAACCUUACCACAACUUGAAUAUUAUUAAUUUAUUACAAGUGUUGCAUGGCUGUCUUCAGUUAAUGUCGUUAGAUGCAGGUUAGCUCCAUUAAAUUAACGUAAACCCUUACUUUAUUAUCAUAAGGUAGUUCUCCUAUAGAUUGGAUAAGAUAACAGGGACCAAGACUAGAACUCAUGACCUUAAUGUUGUGGGCUAUAGACGUGCCA
rnacentral:rRNA from 1 species